CAGUUAAAGUGUAUGCCGUGGUAUCCCGGCUUCCUGCUUCAUCCUGCACCUGCCUCCUUGAAAGAAAACAAGACAUCAGAUACUUAUUCAAAUAAUGCAAUAGCUGAUCAGCAGAGUAUCUACACAAUGGUGUUGAGAUUUCAUCACACUGGAGGGCAGUAAGGCUCAGCUUCAAGCAGAUAAGGUGUUUUGUGUUGGUGGAAAGACAGGCGAGCAUGCAAAUAAGUGGA